UUUUUUUUUUUUAAUUUUUUUGGGCCGCACCUGCGGCAUAUGGAAGUUUGCAGCUAGGGGUUGAUUCAGGAGCUACAGCUCCUGGCCUACACCACAGCCACAGCAACUUGAGAUCUGAGCCGAGUUUGCGACCUAGAUAGACCACAGCUCUUGGCAAUGCCGAAUCCCCAACCCGCUGAAUGAAGCCAGGGAUGGAACCUGCAUUCUCAUGGAUACUGGUCGGAUUCGUUUCUGCUGCGCCACAACGGGAACUCCUCUCUUUUUUUUAAAUGAAGUUCUUUUUUUCUAAUUUCCACCUGCUCAGAGGUCUGUACACACCUCUAAUGAUUCCUUUUGUGUUCCUUUAUUGUUAACCGUUGGAUUUAUUUAUAUAUAGUUCUGCUUUACCCGCUAAACCUCUGAGUGGCAGGGAGCCUGUCUUCCUGGGCUUUGAAUCCUCUGUGGGAAGCCUGGUAUAGGAUAACUUUUAAAUAACUGUAUAAUGAAAUACUUCCUGUUUCACCAAGGAGACUGAGCCUGUGAGAACAUAGCUUAUCCAAAGUGUCCAGAAAUGGUAAAUGACAGAGCUGACACUCAGACUCAGUAUUUUUUAUUCCAGAUUUGGUGUCCCAUCCAGUAUAUCCAAGAUAUUAAUGAUAUAUUUUAGUCAAUGAAAUGAUAUACUUUAGUCUAUUAUUGCAAAAAUAAAAUAUAGACCUUGCCUUUGACAUACAGCACUGAAUCCCUGUCACUCACCCCUGCCACAGCCACCUGGAGUCCACCCACUGCUCCUUAGGAAAGCAAACUAACAACCCCUCCCCAGAUAAUCCAGACUCAGGAAACAUGGUCUCUUCCACGUGAGAGCUAGCUGAAUCCAGAAUCUGGGAACUUGUUUCCUUUUUUCUUGGGGUGGGAUGGGCAUACUUUAAAAAGUAAUUAAUAUUAUCUUUACUGUUAAUAAUUAAAAGUAUCUUUACUGUUGGAGAAUAAUAAAUAUGGCUUUGGUAUUUCACACUAGAGCUUUCAAAUAACAUAAUCUUAGAUUUGUUGCCUUCAAGACAUAGGCUUUCUUCAUACUAGAUUCUAAAGCUCUCUUUUGCUUUUACUACAUCUGCUAACUAGACCAUUUCUGCAUAUGAUUUCCUGGAAGCUUUACACUUCACUUACUACAAAUUUUCGUUUCCCACAGGGUCAUUCUUUCUUUUUUUUAUUACUCAAUGAAUUUAUCACAUCUGUAGUUGUAUAAUGAUCAUCACAAUCCAAUUUGACUUUGAUAUUUUUGUAUAAAUCCAACCUCUGCUUUACAUUCCCAAUUGAAAUACCAAAAUGUUGGUGUUCCCUUGUGGUCCUGUGGUUAAGGAUCCAGCAUUGUCACUGCAGUGGCUCGGGUCACUCUUGUGUCAAGGGUUCAAUCUCUGGCCCUGGGAACUUCCACAUGCCGUGGGUAGGGCGAGAAAGAAGGAAAGAGGGAGGGAGGGAGGAAGAGAGGGAGGAAGACCGGAAUGUUGAGAUAUAUGGAUUUAUCAUCUUCUAAUUACCUUGGUUAUUUUUUUCAUAACCUGAGUCUGGUACUCACAGCCGGAAUUUGUAGGACAGAGCACUAGAAAGGAGGAAGAUAUGCAGCGAAGGAAAUUUGCAUAAAGACCCCCCCCCCGCCCCCCGACUCAUUUGGAGGAGUGUCAAAUAAUUUGUUUUUAGACCACUAAAUUCUUUUUUUUUUUUUUCUUUUUAGGGCCACACCUACAGCAUGGGGAAGUUCCCAGCUAGUGGUCAAAUCAGAGCUACUGCUGGCCUACACCACAGCUCAUGGCAACGCCUGAUCCCCAACCCGCUGAGCAAGGCUGUGUCCUCAUGGAUACUAGGCGGAUUCGUUUCCGCUAUGCCACAACGGGAACUCCCUAGGCCACUAAAGUCGUGACAUUCCAGGUGCUUUAGCCUCAUCUAACCAAUCUCUGUCUCUUAGAUUUGGAUUUUCUUUCCUAUUCUGUGCAUUGGAUAAUGCCUCCAAGCAGAUAGCUAUUAUGACAACUGAAACUGAAGGGAUCACCUCCAUUUAUUACUCUUUUUUUCAGAGAGCACAGUCCUACAUAGGCUUUUUCAAUGUUAUGGACUGAAUUGUAUCUACCCCCUAUUCAUAUAUUGAAAUCUUUUUUUUUCUUUUUAUGGUCGCAUCUGUGGCAUAUAUGGAAGCUCCUGGGCGAGGUCUUGAAUCCGAGCUGUAGCUGCCAGCCUAUGCCACAGCCACAGCAAUGCCAGAUCCCAGCCGUAUCUGUGACCUCUGCCACAGCUUGAAGCGAGCUGGAUCCUUAACCCACUGAGUGAUCCAGGGAUCAAACUGCAUCCUUAUAUAAAACAUCAUGUGUAUGUAUGUAUAUAUUUGCUUUUUAGGGCUUCAAGUACUGCAUACAUGAACUCCCAUUCGACCCUUAGCCUGGGGUCCAUAUGCCACAGGAGCGGCCGUAAAAAGAAAAAAAAUAGUUUUUUUUAAAAAAAACAGGUUUGUUGGGAGUUCCCGUUGUGGCGCAGUGGUUAACAAAUCCGACUAGGAACCAUGAGAUUGCGGGUUCGAUCCCUGGCCUUGCUCAGUGGGUUAAGGAUCCGGCGCUGCCGUGAGCUGUGGUGUAGGUCGCAGACAUGGCUCAGAUCCCGAGUUGCUGUGGCUCUGGUGUAGGCUGGCGGCUACAGCUCCGAUUAGACCCCUAGCCUGGGAACCUCCCAUAUGCCCAAGCGUAUCCAUGAGGAUACAGGUUCGAUCCCUGGCCUUGCUCAGUGGAUUAACGAUCUGGAGUUGCCCUGAGCUGUGGUGUAGGUCGCAGAGGCAGCUUGGAUCCUGCAUUGCUGUGGCUGUGAUGUAGGCAGGCAGCUGUAGCUCCAAUUCAACCUCCAUAUGCCGAGGGAGCGGCCUAAAAAGCAAAACCAACAAGAACAAGGUAAUGAACAUGGCCAUCACUCCCCAGAAGUUCCCUUGUGCCCCUUGGCAAUCCCUGACUCCUGUCCCUCCACAACCGUCCUUUCACUCUACCAGUCUACGGGCAAAUACUAAUCUGCUUUCUCAUCACUGUAGAUUAGCUUUCAUUUUCUAGAAUCUUUUAUAAAUGGCACUAUACGGCAUUAGCUUUUCUCUUUUUUUCCUUUUCUUUUUUUGGUCUGGGUUCUCAGAUAAAUUGUUUUGAGAUUCAUUCAUGUUAUGUGUCUAAAUAGCUCAUUCUUUUUGUUGUUGGAGUAUUGCUUUGUAUGGAUAUAUCACGAUUUUUAAAAAUCCAUUCACAUAUAUUUUUAAAUAUUUUUUUUAUUACUCAAAUGAAUUUAUCACAUCUAUAGUUGUACAAUGAUCAUCACAGUCCAAUUUCACAGGAUUUCCAUCCAUUCACAUAUUGAUGGACAUUUGACUCAUUUCCAAUUUUUGGCUCUUAUAAAUAAAUCUGCUACAAAUAUUUAUGUAGAAGUCUUCGUGAGAAUAUAUGCUGUCAGUUUGCUUGGGUAAAUACCUAAGAGUUGAAUGUCUGGGUUUUAUGAUGCUCCUCACUUUUCUGUCCUGCUUUGAAGCAUAUAUCACCUAAUAAAGUAUAUAAUUUACUCAGGGUAUGGUCAGGCCACUCAAGAUGGCCAUUCUCUUGUUCUCUAUCUUCCCGGCUUGACCAGCCCCUGCCCAUCACCUACACCCUGUUCACAUGACUCUCCAAUCCUCUUAAAUAUGGGGCUUAAAUAGUGACUACUUCCUUGCUUGCCUCCAGCCUCAGCUGCUGGUUUCCCUGGUAACUGAUGAACCAACCUGAUGUCAAUUCCCCCUAUCAAUGAUAGCCUCCUUCUCCCCCGGAGUAGAAAAGACUCUUGCCUGGUUCUGCCUGCUGUCUGCCAUACACAGUGGGGUUUGAUCCAGGACUUCUGCUUCAGACUUAUAAGAUGCCCUGGCCCAUAAACCCUUGAUGUCUCUGUCCCUGCCUCUGGGCUCUUUCUUUGGUCUUGCAGCCAGGCAACUACAAGGCAUGCAGGCUUGAAGGGUGUAGCCCAACACUUCCUAAUUCUGUUUAUUGUCUGUCUUCCAUCACCAGAAAGGAGGCUUCAUAAAGGUAGGAAAUAUUUUGGUUUAUUGCUGUUUCCCCAUUGCCUAGAAAUAGCAUCUGGUCAUAGUAGCUGCUCAACAAUCAUAACAAAAGCAUUUAUGUAUUGUCUACUAUGAGUCAGUACAUUGCAUAUAUAAGCAUUUAUUGAAUGAUCAAGAUAUGUUCUUUUAUGAGACUCAGAUAUUGCCUUUUUAGGUUUUGGCUUUUGAGAUUUUGGUAAACAAGCUUACUUAUUAGUAAUUAAGCAGAAACAGCAAAUUAAGGUGUAUUUGGCAGACUAACUCCAGACUAUGUAGUGGCUAGCCACGCCAUUGUGCGGUGAAGAUCCUGAAGAUAAAUCUGGGCUUAGUUCUGUGAUUGAUGAUGCUGUCUACAAUGUUUACCCAGAACGGAGACUGGAGGCAUAGGUAACCCACUGCUGGCAUUUCUGGUUUAGAGUGUGUAGUUUACUGAAAGAAUGGAAGAGUAUAACUUAUCCCUUUGGCUUGCAUGUCUAGUUUUUAAUAUAUAUGCAAUGCAAUAUAAUGUGGUUUUUUUUUUUGGCUGCGCUCAUGGCAAAUAAAAUCUCCUGGGCCAGGAGUUCCCGUCAUGGCGCAGCAGAAACAAAUCCAACUAGGAAACAUCGAUCCCUGGCCUCGCUCAGUGGGUUAAGAAUCUGGCAUUGCCCUGAGCUGUGGUGUAGGUCAAAGACCAGGCUCAGAUCUGGCGUGGCUGUGGCUGUGGUGUAGGUCAGCGGCUACAGCUCCGAUUAGACCCCCAGCCUGGGAACCUCCGUAUGCCACGGUUGCGACCCUAUAAAAAAACAAAACAAAACAAAAAAUUCCUGCGCCAGGGAUCAAACCCCUGCCAGAGUAGUGACCCAAGCUGCUGCAGUGACAACAUCGGCUCCGUAACCCACUGCACCACAAAAGAACUCCUAUUGUAUUUUUUUAAUUUUGGUGAUGUCCGAAAGUCAAGUACUAGACAUAAUAUAAGGCAUAAUAUUGACUUUCAGUGCUGAAAAGCUCUACCUCCGAAAAUAAUCUAUAUUUGAAAGUCAUGCUCUCUCUAAAUCUGUUUUUGAUUCUAGUGUGAAUAACCACAGCUGCUUCAGCCAUAGCUGGGGAGGUUUCUGAUUAUACAAUAAUCUUUCAUUGGGAGAAAACUGCUUAUCAGAAGAUUGCUCUUUUCAGAUAUUCAAUUCCACACUCAGCAUUAUGUAACAAAUUUCACCUUCCAGUUCACCAGCUUUUACCAAGAACUCUUACCCAAGCUGUUCAGAAUAGAACAGAAUUCUAAAGUCUCUGACCUUUAUUUCUGUGCAUGUAGCUCUUAGAGCGUUGAGUUUUAAUUUUCUACAUUUCCACGUUUCUGAAGAAAUGUCACUUUAGAACAAAUAUGAAAAAAAAAAAAAAAAAAAAAAAAA
ensembl:lncRNA